AUUGAACGCUGGCGGCAUGCCUUACACAUGCAAGUCGAACGGUAACAGGUUAAGCUGACGAGUGGCGAACGGGUGAGUAAUGUAUCGGAACGUGCCCCGUCGUGGGGGAUAACUGCUUGAAAGAGCAGCUAAUACCGCAUACGACCUGAGGGUGAAAGCGGGGGAUCGCAAGACCUCGCGCGAUUGGAGCGGCCGAUAUCAGAUUAGGUAGUUGGUGGGGUAAAGGCCUACCCAGCCGACGAUCUGUAGCUGGUUUGAGAGGACGACCAGCCCCCCUGGGACUGAGACCCGGCCCCGACUCCUUCGGGAGGCAGCAGUGGGGAAUUUUGGACAAUGGGCGCAAGCCUGAUCCAGCCCUGCCGCGUGCGGGAAGAAGGCCUUCGGGUUGUAAACCGCUUUUGUCAGGGAAGAAACGCUUUGGGUUAAUACCCUGGGGUAAUGACGGUACCUGAAGAAUAAGCACCGGCUAACUACGUG
rnacentral:rRNA from 1 species